UAGCAUAUCAAUAAGCGGAGGAAAAGAAACUAACGAGGAUUCCCCUAGUAACUGCGAGUGAAGCGGGAAAAGCUCAAAUUUGAAAUCUGGCAGUCUCUGGCUGUCCGAGUUGUAAACUAGAGAAGUGUUACCCGCGUUGGACCGUGUACAAGUCUCCUGGAAUGGAGCGUCAUAGAGGGUGAGAAUCCCGUCUUUGACACGGACUACCAAGGCUUUGUGGUACGCUCUCAAAGAGUCGAGUUGUUUGGGAAUGCAGCUCAAAAUGGGUGGUAAAUGCCAUCUAAAGCUAAAUAUUGGCGAGAGACCGAUAGCGAACAAGUACCGUGAGGGAAAGAUGAAAAGAACUUUGGAAAGAGAGUUAAACAGUACGUGAAAUUGCUGAAAGGGAAACGCUUAAAGUCAGUCGCGUCGGCUUGGAAUCAACCUUGCUUUUGCUGGGUGUACUUCCUUGUCGAUGGGUCAACAUCAGUUUUGACCGGUGGAUAAAGUCAGUCGGAAUGUGGCUCCCUCGGGAGUGUUAUAGCCUUCUGUCGCAUACAUCGGUUGGGACUGAGGACCGCAGCACGCCGUAAGGCCUGGUUUCGACCAAGUUCGUGCUUAGGAUGUUGGCAUAAUGGCUUUAAUCGACCCGUCUUGAAACACGGACCAAGGAGUCUAACAUGCCUGCGAGUGUUUGGGUGGUAAACCCUUGCGCGUAAUGAAAGUGAAAGUUGAGAUCCCUGUCGUGGGGAGCAUCGACGCCCAGACCAGAGCUUUUGUGACGGAUCUGCGGUAGAGCAUGUGUGUUGGGACCCGAAAGAUGGUGAACUAUGCCUGAAUAGGGUGAAGCCAGAGGAAACUCUGGUGGAGGCUCGUAGCGAUUCUGACGUGCAAAUCGAUCGUCAAAUUUGGGUAUAGGGGCGAAAGACUAAUCGA
rnacentral:rRNA from 1 species